rnacentral:rRNA from 1 species
AAAACAUGUCUUUUUGUAAAUAAUAUAAAGUCUAAUCUGCCCACUGAUAAUUUAUUGAAGGGCUGCAGUAUAUUGACUGUACAAAGGUAGCAUAAUCAUUAGUCAUUUAAUUGAUGACUUGUAUGAAAGAUUGGAUGAGAUAUAUACUGUCUCUUAAUUAAUUAUAAAAUUUAAUUUUUUUAUUAAAAAGUUAAAAUAUUUUAAAAAGACGAGAAGACCCUAUAGAGUUUAAUAAAUAAAUAAAUUGAUUUUAUUUUGUAAAAUAAUAUUGAAAUUUUAUAAUUUAUUUUGUUGGGGUGAUAAAAAAAUAAAUAAAACUUUUUUUA